rnacentral:rRNA from 1 species
AAUCAAGCUUUUUAGGGCACACAGUGGAUGCCUUGGUGCCAACAGGCGAUGAAGGACGUGACAAGCUGCGAUAAGCUUCGGGGAGCGGCACAUGCGCUUUGAUCCGGAGAUUUCCGAAUGGGGUAACCUGAUGGCGUUAAUACGCCAUCGUCUUUUCCUGAACAAAGAUAGGGAAAAGCACGCAAUACCCGCUGAAGUGAAACAUCUCAGUAAGCGGAGGAAAAGAAAGAGAAUCGAUUCCGUCAGUAGUGGCGAGCGAACGCGGAAGAGCCCAAACCGGGAGCUUGCUCCCGGGGUUGUAGGACCCCGAUGUGGGACCGGCAACGAUAGGUCAAGGAGAUGGAAAGCUCCGGCAAAGAGGGUGAAACCCCCGUGACCGAAAUCCGAGCCGGCCCUAGGGUGUUCCUGAGUAAUACGGCACACGUGAAACGCCGUAUGAAUCUGCGCAGACCACUGCGUAAGGCUAAAUACUAGUUGGCGACCGAUAGUGAACCAGUACCGUGAGGGAAAGGUGAAAAGAACCGCUGUGAGCGGAGUGAAAUAGAACCUGAAACCGUGUGCCUACAAGGUGUCAGAGCCCAGCACUUUUCAGUGCUUGACUUGAGAUUGGGUGGUGCUUGGCGUAAAUGCCAUGCAUUACGUUUAUGUGUUGAUUGAACCGGAAAGUGGCAAGCUGUACUACGGGUACAGCGGCAACUUGAAAUCUCGGAUCAAGGCACAUCGGACAAGCGAGCAUCCUGGCUGGGAGCUUCUGUAUUAUGAAGCUUAUCAAGCCGAGGAGGAUGCGAGAAAACGCGAGCGAAAGCUCAAGCAAUAUGGCGCGGCGCGGGGACAUUUAAAAUCCCGGCUCCACGCAAGCGUUUUCCAAUCGCGAUCCAAGCGUUGAAAAGUGCUGGGUGAUGGCGUGCCUUUUGCUUAAUGAGUCUGCGAGUCAGUAUGUGUGGCAAGCCUAAGUCCUUAUGGGACGGAGGCGAAGCGAAAGCGAGUCCGAAUAGGGCGAUCAUAGUUGCACGUGCUGGACCCGAAGCGGAGGUGAUCUACCCUUGGCCAGGUUGAAGCGCAGGUGAUACUGCGUGAAGGACCGAACCGGUGAAUGUUGAAAAAUUCUCGGAUGAGCUGAGGGUAGGAGUGAAAGGCUAAUCAAACCCCGUGAUAGCUGGUUCUCCUCGAAAUGCAUUGAGGUGCAGCGUCGCGUGUUUAUGAGUGGGGGUAGAGCACUGAAAGGGCUAGGGGGCAUACCCGUCUACCAACCCCUAUCAAACUCCGAAUACCACUCAACAGAACGCGGCAGUGAGACGGCGGGGGAUAAGCUUCGUCGUCAAAAGGGAAACAACCCUGAUCAGCAGCUAAGGUGCCCAAAUCAUGCUAAGUGGAAAGGAUGUGGAAUUUCACAGACAGUGAGGAUGUUGGCUUAGAAGCAGCCACCAUUUAAAAAGUGCGUAAUAGCUUACUCAUCGAGAGAUUCCGCGCCGAAAAUGAUUGGCGAUUAAGCAUGAUACCGAAGCUCUGGGUGCCAUACCCUGGGGUAUGGCGCGGUAGAGGAGCAUUCUCAACGCGUCGAAGCGCGAUGGCGACUGACCGUGGAGUGUUGAGAAGAGAGGAUGCAGACAUGAGUAACGAUAAGGCGGGUGAAAUCCCCGUCCGCCGUAAACCCAAGGAUUCCCGGGCCACGUUUUUCGUCCCGGGGUUAGUCGGGACCUAAGCCGAGGCGGAUACGCGUAGGCGAUGGACAGCAGGUUAAUAUUCCUGCACUUGCGACCCUUAACCCGGAUGGACGCAUCGAUGGAGGCAACUAAGUGAUUGAAUUCCGAGGUGAGGCUACGGCCGAUCCGCAUUGCCAAAGUCGGUGCCGAGAAAAGAUCCGGUGCAUGCUAAGCAACCCGUACCGCAAACCGACACAGGUGGGUGGGUAGAAUAUACCAAGGCGCAAGAGUGAACCCCGGUUAAGGAACUCGGCAAAUUGGCCCCGUAACUUCGGGAUAAGGGGUACCUAGAUUUAUCUAGGUCGCAGUGAAAUGGCCCAACCGACUGUUUAGCAAAAACACAGCAUUCUGCCAAGCCGCAAGGCCAAGUAUAGGAUGUGACACGUGACCAAUGCGGAAAGAUUAAGAUGAGAUGUUAGCAGCAAUGCGAAGCUUCGAGUCCAAGUCCCCGUGAAUGUCGGCCGUAACUAUAACGGUCCUAAGGUAGCGAAAUUCCUUGUCGGGUAAGUUCCGACCUGCACGAAUCGUGUAACGAGUUGGGCGCUGUCUCAACCGGGUGCUCAGUGAAAUUGUAAUGGCGGUGAAGAUGCCGCCUGCCCGCAGAAGGACGGAAAGACCCUAUAGACCUUAACUGUAAGCUGUCAUUGGUUUUUCGAUUUUCAUGCUCAGCAUAAGUGGGAGGCUUUGAAGCGGCCCUUCAGGGGGCCGCAGAGCCGCCAGUGAGAUACCACCCUUGGGUGUUGGAAGAUCUAACCUCGGUCCCGUGAAUCCGGGCGAGGGACAUUGUCAGCCGGUCAGUUUUACUGGGGCGGUAUCCUCCCAAAGAGUAACGGAGGAGCGCGAAGGUGGGUUCAGCACGGUUGGUAACCGUGUGUCGAGUGCAUGGGCAUAAACCCGCCUAACUGUGAGACCCACAAGUCGAGCAGAUGCGAAAGCAGGCCCAAGUGAUCCGGCGGUUGAAUGUGGAAUUGCCGUCGCUCAACGGAUAAAAGGUACCUUAGGGAUAACAGGCUGAUUUCAUCCAAGAGUUCAUAUCGACGAUGAAGUUUGGCACCUCGAUGUCGGCUCGUCGCAUCCUGGGGCUGGAGAAGGUCCCAAGGGUCCGGCUGUUCGCCGGUUAAAGCGGCACGCGAGCUGGGUUCAGAACGUCGCGAGACAGUUCGGUCCUCUAUCCUCUGUGGGCGCAGGAAAAUUGAGGGGUUCGGUUCCUAGUACGAGAGGACCGGAAUCGACGCACCUCUGGUGCACCGGUUGUCGUGUCAACGGCAUGGCCGGGUAGCUAUGUGCGGAAGAGAUAAGCGCUGAAAGCAUCUAAGCGCCAAGCUCCUCCCAAGAUGAAUUUUCCCCGAAGGAUCGUCGAAGACUACGACGUUGAUAGGCUUUAGGUGCAAGCGUGGUAACAUGUUUAGCCGAGAAGUACUAAUCAUCCGUUUGGCUUGAUUCC